UACGGAGGGUGCGAGCGUUGCUCGGAAUUACUGGGCGUAAAGCGUACGCAGGCUGUCGUCCAAGUCGGGUGUGAAAUCCCGGGGCUCAACCCCGGAACUGCGCCCGAGACUGUGCGACUUGAAUGCGGGAGAGGAUAGCGGAAUUCCUGGUGUAGAGGUGAAAUUCGUAGAUAUCAGGAGGAACACCUGUGGCGAAAGCGGCUAUCUGGCCCGACAUUGACGCUCAUGUACGAAAGCGCGGGGAGCAAACAGG
rnacentral:rRNA from 1 species